GGGGAUGUCAGGUUUCGAUAAGAGUUCUUUUCAAAAUAAGCAAGUCGAGUAUUGCUGUAAUCUCGUUAAAACUUCGGCAAAACUAUAAGUGCAAACUUAUUUACAAAAGUUCAAUCUGCGGUAGCUAACGCUUUCGCACCUAACUUUUCAUACGCCAUCGCCUAACGGCCGUGACGCAUCGGCCGCCAAUUCCUAAUAAGCGGAUAUAAUAGACUUGUCCCCCAAUAAUCCUUUCUACUGCAACUGGUAAUUUUGUCUCCAAAUUGCUCAAAGCUCGUUGAGGUAUUACCAAUAUCUCUCCUCGCUUUUCACAAUUUUCGCCUAAAAUUACUGCGUUUCGUAACGAAAGAUUAUUAGGGGGCAAGUCUAAUGGUGUCAUAAUUAGGAUAGACAAUUUUUCGCCUUUAAAAAUUGUUGAAAAUAAAACAAUAGGCUCGGACAUAAGCAUUUUUUCUAAAUUAUUAUCUUAUGUUUCAAAAAUAAAUUUAGAUAAACUUGUAGAUUUAUUUUGAUAUAAGGCUUUUAGACGCGGGUUCAAUUCCCGCCAUCUCCAUUU
rnacentral:tmRNA from 1 species